AACGAACGCUGGCGGCAGGCCUAACACAUGCAAGUCGAGCGAAGCCUUCGGGCUUAGCGGCGGACGGGUGAGUAACGCGUGGGAACGUGCCCUUUGGUACGGAAUAGCCCCGGGAAACUGGGAGUAAUACCGUAUGUGGUCGAGAGAAGAAAGAUUUAUCGCCAAAGGAUCGGCCCGCGGUGGAUUAGGUAGUUGGUGGGGUAAUGGCCUACCAAGCCGACGAUCCAUAGCUGGUUUGAGAGGAUGAUCAGCCACACUGGGACUGAGACACGGCCCAGACUCCUACGGGAGGCAGCAGUGGGGAAUCUUAGACAAUGGGGGAAACCCUGAUCUAGCCAUGCCGCGUGAUCGAUGAAGGCCUUAGGGUUGUAAAGAUCUUUCAGUGGGGAAGAUAAUGACUGUACCCACAGAAGAAGCCCCGGCUAACUCCGUGCCAGCAGCCGCAGUAACAC
rnacentral:rRNA from 1 species